AUUGAACGCUGGCGGCAGGCCUAACACAUGCAAGUCGAGCGGCAGCGGGAAAGUAGCUUGCUACUUUUGCCGGCGAGCGGCGGACGGGUGAGUAAUGCCUGGGAAAUUGCCCAGUCGGGGGGGAUAACAGUUGGAAACGACUGCUAAUACCGCAUACGCCCUACGGGGGAAAGCAGGGGACCUUCGGGCCUUGAGCGACUGGACAUGCGCAGGUGGGAUUGGCUAGUUGGUGAGGUAAUGGCUCACCAAGGCGACGAUCCCUAGCUGGUCUGAGAGGAUGAUCAGCCACACUGGAACUGAGACACGGUCCAGACUCCUACGGGAGGCAGCAGUGGGGAAUAUUGCACAAUGGGGGAAACCCUGAUGCAGCCAUGCCGCGUGUGUGAAGAAGGCCUUCGGGUUGUAAAGCACUUUCAGCGAGGAGGAAAGGUCAGUAGCUAAUAUCUGCUGACUGUGACGUUACUCGCAGAAGAAGCACCGGCUAACUCCGUGCCAGCAGCCGCGGUAACAC
rnacentral:rRNA from 1 species